GCCAUUGCCACGCAUGCGCAUUAGGUCUCCCCUGCUGGCUGUCGGCGGGGCAGAAGAGUGGGCUGAGUCUGACCCAGCGCCGAGGUACAACAGCGCUGGAUUUAGGUAAGUGGCUGUAUGUCAGCCUUACGGGAGGGUGGCACGAUUAACCCUAUAGUGCCAGGAAAACGGCUUUGUUUUCCUGGCACUAUAGGAUCCCUUUAGUUUUCACUAACCAAUGGCUGGUGGGCGAGUGGAAAUCUGGAACCCUGAAAUGUACCUCUACAGUAUUUCCACAUAUAUUAUGUGUGUGUAGAUGUAUUUGUUUUUGUGUAAGGAAGUGUACAACUGUGGAUGUGUAUGUGCAUUGCUAUUAAUACGUAUGUGAGUGUGCAGAUGUGUAUAUGGGAGUAUGAAUUUGCAUGUCUGUCUGUAUAGCAGUAUAGAAUUGUAUACAUGCACAUGUCUGGAAACACAGGUCUGCUUUCCCCAUGAGAGAUAGCAACUAAGCCAAGGUAUAU